UACGAAGGGGGCUAGCGUUGUUCGGAAUUACUGGGCGUAAAGCGCAUGUAGGCGGAUAUUUAAGUCAGGGGUGAAAUCCCAGAGCUCAACUCUGGAACUGCCUUUGAUACUGGGUAUCUUGAGUAUGGAAGAGGUAAGUGGAAUUGCGAGUGUAGAGGUGAAAAUUCGUAGAUAUUCGCAGGAACACCAGUGGCGAAGGCGGCUUACUGGUCCAUAACUGACGCUGAGGUGCGAAAGCGUGGGGAGCAAACAGGAGUUAGAAACC
rnacentral:rRNA from 1 species